rnacentral:rRNA from 1 species
UACGUAGGAUCCGAGCAUUAUCCGGAGUGACUGGGUGUAAAGAGUUGCGUAGGUGGCAUAAUAAGUAGCUAGUGAAAUCUGGUGGCUCAACCAUUCAGACUAUUAGCUAAACUGUUAAGCUCGAGACCGUUAGGGGUAACUGGAAUUUCUAGUGUAGGAGUGAAAUCCGUAGAUAUUAGAAGGAACACCGAUAGCGUAGGCAGGUUACUGGGACGGUUCUGACACUAAGGCACGAAAGCGUAGGGAGCAAACGGG